rnacentral:tRNA from 1 species
GCCAUUUAGCUCAAAGGUCGAGCGCCUGAUUAAGUUUCAGAAGGUGUUGGUUCGAUUCCAAUAAUGGCUCCA